rnacentral:rRNA from 1 species
GGCCGACUGCCUAACACAUGCAAGUCGAGCGGUAACAGGUGUAGCAAUACAUGCUGACGAGCGGCGAACGGGUGAGUAAUGCUUCGGAAUCUGCCCAAUGGUGGGGAAUAACUAGCCGAAAGGUUAGCUAAUACCGCAUGAGCCCUACGGGGGAAAGCAGGGGAUCGUAAGACCUUGCGCCGAUGGAUGAGCCGAAGCCGGAUUAGCUAGUUGGUAGGGUAACGGCCUACCAAGGCGACGAUCCGUAGCUGGUCUGAGAGGACGACCAGCCACACUGGGACUAAGACACGGCCCAGACUCCUACGGGAGGCAGCAGUGGGGAAUAUUGGACAAUGGGGGAAACCCUGAUCCAGCGACGCCGCGUGUGUGAAGAAGGCCUGCGGGUUGUAAAGCACUUUUAGUGGGGAUGAAAAGCUCAGGGCUAAUACCUCUGGGUCUUGACCUAACCCACAGAAAAAGCACCGGCUAACUCUGUGCCAGCAGCCGCGGUAAUAACCUAAAUAGC